rnacentral:rRNA from 1 species
GACGUAGGGCGCGAGCGUUGUCCGGAUUUAUUGGGCGUAAAGAGCUCGUAGGCGGCUCGUUGCGUCGACCGUGAAAACCCGGGGCUCAACUUCGGGCUUGCGGUCGAUACGGGCGGGCUAGAGUUCGGUAGGGGAGACUGGAAUUCCUGGUGUAGCGGUGAAAUGCGCAGAUAUCAGGAGGAACACCGGUGGCGAAGGCGGGUCUCUGGGCCGAUACUGACGCUGAGGAGCGAAAGCGUGGGGAGCGAACAGG